AUGAUCUCUACAUCCCUACUGCUGCUGCUGCUGGCAGCCGUACACUGUGUUCACAGUGUUGAGCUGAUCCAGACCGGAUCCACAGUAUUAACUCCUGGUCAGUCACUGACUCUGACCUGUAAAGUGUCUGGAUAUUCAUUAACUGAUUACAGCUACUGUACACACUGGAUACGACAACCUGCAGGAAAAACUCUGGAAUGGAUCGGACGUAUAUGUGCUAGUGGGGGCACUGCCUACAGUGAGAAACUGAAAAGCAAGUAUCAGAUUUCCAGAGACACGUCCAGCAGCACAGUGACAUUAACAGGACAGAACAUGCAGACUGAAGACACAGCUGUGUAUUACUGCGCUCGUGAACUUGGUAGCUACUGGAUGGCUUGGAUCAGACAGGCGCCUGGAAAAGGGCUGGAAUUUGUUGCAACUAUUGAGGGUGAUAGUGAUAGGAAGUAUUACUCCAGUGCUGUUCAGGGCCGCUUCACCAUCUCCAGAGACAACAGUAAGAAGCAGGUGUAUCUGCAGAUGAACAGCAUGAGGACAGAAGACACAGCAGUUUAUUACUGCCUACAUAUAGAGAAAUAUCAGCCACUGUCACUGUGGGCUCUGGAGAAGUACAAAUUGUUUGAGAACAUUUAA